GUUCAUCCCGCAAUGAUUGUUUUCAGCCACUGGUAGCUUGUGCUUUAUAUGCUCUACAGUCAAUUAUGAUUGCAUUUCUACUUAUAGUAACUAUAUAAUUAUUAAUAUACGCCUACUGUAUGAUAGCUAGAAAAUGAAUUAGCUGACGUUAUCCUGCCUAGUUGGAACUUCUGAAGGAAAAUGUGUUAUUUCUACAAUUUCCAAAAGCUAACCAAACAAAAACAUCAUUACUUUUAUGAGACCGUCAUGUGCAUUAGAAGCACAAUUUCUAACCUGUUUACUUACACUUGUAUGUUGACGUUUUACGUUUCGGUGGACUUUUCUUAGCGGAUGUACAAUCAACGCGAAUUGAAUUAUGGGGGGUUUCAGGACCGAAAUGAACAUAAUUGUACACUCUCAAAAUCGACGGCUGCGGGGCUUAUGUUGCGAACUUCCGUUGUUUGGACCGACGUCCAAGAUGGUGACGGGGAUUCCCCCAAGGGCAUAAGGCGUGGGUGCAGAAUGCCAUGUAUGGAGGCUUGACAGGGGUGUACAGAUGAGCAAUGCCAGUGGAAUUUGGGGACACAGCGGAAUUUAGCUCCAAAAAGGUUGAGCAAGAUCUUUUGAGUUCUCUGACAGCACCCCGGGCGCUUCUCCAUCUCUACCUGCAACCCCUGCAUACCACUCCCACAACGCACUUAAGAAGAGUUUGGAAGGGGCCAAUGUUCCACUUGGAGCCUUCUGCACAAGUGCAUCAAAGCUAAACCAAACAGUCAUCAAGUUCCAGCAGCAGCCUCACAGUGAACACGGCAUCAACAUACAGUGUCAGAAAUGCUUGUAAUUUUAUGACUUUUUUAUAUUAAGCUGGAGGAGUGUAAAUGUGCCAGCUUGGAGGAGGAAUAACACGACUACGCCCCCAUUAACAAUGGACAUGGCUCCUUGACACUCACUACUGUGCCUCUACUCUCCAAACUAAACCCACAGCUCUCCAUCCAUGUGUAGGCUAAAGCACAGAGUGCCACCUAUGCAUGGUAUGACACACUUACAUUUCAGAUCACUGCAAGCUCAGUAAAGAAGGUUCCUGUGCGCACCUCAACAAAUCCUGACCACUUUGUGCAGGAGCAUCUCUUCCCCAGGUUCCAUGGAAACUCAGAAACCACAUCUGGUAAGGAAAACGAGCAGGUGGCCUACACAUGGAUGGAGAGCUGUGGGUUUAGUUUGGAGAGUAGAGGCACAGUAGUGAGUGUCAAGGAGCCAUGUCUUUCUGCAAGCCCCCAGAUGGAGUGUUACACUCUCAAGAACUUCUAGAAAUCAAAUGUCCUACUCUGAGUGAGAAGUGUGAGUCUCUGGCAAACUCAUCGACGUGAAGCUGGUGGAUGGAGUUCCUCAGCUGCAACAUAAUGGAGCCUUUGGGUACUACAUGCAGGAGCAAUUGGGCAUGUUCUGCACAGGACUGGAGAUAUGCAAACUGCUGUCUGGGCUCUGUCCGAGCUGGUUGUUAUUGAUGUGCCAAUUGAUGUAAAGUUCUGUGCUGAUGUUAUCCCUAAACUGAAGGCAUUCUAUUUCCUACAUAUGCUGCCAAGGGUAGUAUAUGAGUUCCAGUUAGGCAGACUGUGUGCUCAAAAUAUGUUAAUCUAUGUGGUAUCUAGGCUAAUACUUUGUUUUGAAACGGUUCUUGUAUUUUGUGCCUUGUAAAGAUCUCUCUGUUAGCUCUACCUUAUUAUCUAAGCAUAACUCUUGGUGUUUUUUGUUGUCUUGCACAGUUCUCUUCAUAUGCACAUUUACCUGAUUUAUAUUUGCAUAAUUCUUGGUGUUUUUUAUGUCUUGCCUUGUAUAACUCUUCAUACAUGUUUAUCUAAUGCCUAAGGAUAACUCCUUAUGAUUUAUGAAUAUUUUAAUUGUACCUUGUAUAGCUCUUUAUUUUCAUUUGGCGCUUCAUUAACUUAUCUAGGCAUACCGUAACUCAUCUUGCACUUGAGGAAUUAUGGCAUUAAUAAAAACAAUGAAAUUCCACU